AAUAGUUUAAUACCCAAUCUGAUGUUAAAUCGCUUAAGUUCUUAUGCUUGGCCAUGCUGCCGCACGUCGCCACCGGCCAACGGCUCUGUUGAGCUAGGUCUGUUCUUUUCAUAAAUGGUUGAAAAUUUUCCCUUUCUAUAUUUGUAAUAAUAUAGCAGAAGAUGGAACAAUGGUUGAUAGCGAUUGCUCUCUCUCUCCCUCAGUUUAUUCCAUAAUCCAAUCUUUAUUCUUUAUCAUCUAAGUUUUUAGGCCAAUGACGUCCAUCUAUUUUUUGUCCAACAGAGACUUUAACAAUAUGAUUUUAAACUUUUCAUGCUGGAUUCUUGCACAAAGAUCGAAAAUCUCAAGUUGGGUUCUUCAAAUUUCACUGUUUUUGAAGAUGUCAUACUUCAAUUUGCAAGUAUUAAGCGAUAAAUUGUGGAGUUUGAUGCUGAUGACAAUGAGAAAAAGAGAGAUAGGUGAUGAUGACAGGGAAAGGGGAAAAAGAGAUGAAUGCCAGUUGAGUUCAAAAAAAAUAGAGGAUGGUAAAAAGCACAUCCAGAUGGAAGAGGAAGAAAAUGAUGGUGCUUGAUCUUUUUUAUAGCGAUAAAUUAGUAGAGUGGAACUAAGAGAGAGAAAGAAAAAGAUGCUAUUGGGAAAGCUGGUACCCGGUCUCCUCAAAUAGCAUAGUGACUAAACUUAAAGCGGUCGUUAGCAAAUGACAGUCUCUGUCAUUAUAGCAGGGUCCAAUUUCUUUUGCUUCUAUACUGUGUAGAACGGUCGAAUCCACAAUUUUGAAAGUUGUUCCGUGUUUUUGUUGUUUAAGACACGGUAAAAUAGUCGUUCUCCUGCAUGGAAACUUCUGUUUUUUUUGUCCAAGUGAAUAUUUUAGUUGUUUUCUAUUCCUAAUAUUCUUUUGGAUUAAUGCAUCUUCAUUCAUCCAACAAAAGGCUUACCAUCAUUAUAUAACCCACUUCCCCUAACUGCAUGUAUCUCUUCUCCCCAUAAUUGCAGAAUAUGUGUUCCCAACUCCAGAAUAGAAAGUUGAAUCUGCAUGAAGCUCUGAAACAAGGGUUUGACGUGGAGUAUGAUUUCUACCAAAUUUUCUGUUUGAAAUGCAUGGAUUUGGGUGGGAAAUGCUUUAGAUCAAGUUCAGAUCUGUGAGGAGAGAGGCGAAUCAAAGAGCAGAUUCACUUGCCAAGGAUGGAGUUCAACUGCAGGAUGACAUGUUGAGAGUCUAUGGGAAUGACAGUGGAGAUCCAGCACAAGAAAACCUUGACUUAUGAGUUCAGCAUAGAUUCUUUUCUUUUGCUGAUUCCUAGUACGAAUUUUGGUUCUGUGGGUGGUUCUGGUUUUUGUGUUUGACAAGAUCACUUCUGCCUGUUUGAUUGAGGUUUGUUAACCUCUUUUUGUUUGAUGGGGGAUGCAUAUGCUGUUUUUCUGGGGAAGGCAGGGGUUGGUCUUGUUGCUGCAGAAUUGAUUUUUUUGUGAUUGUGCAGCUUUUCUUGAGGUUUUCUCCUCCUUUUAGAUGUAACUUUGUUUACCUUAUGAAUGAAUUCUGCUUUUCAAAAAAAUAGAUCAAGCUCAGAUCA
rnacentral:lncRNA from 1 species